rnacentral:rRNA from 1 species
AACACGUGGGCAAUCUGCCCUUCACUCUGGGACAAGCCCUGGAAACGGGGUCUAAUACCGGAUAAUACUUCCACUCUCCUGAGUGGUGGUUGAAAGCUCCGGCGGUGAAGGAUGAGCCCGCGGCCUAUCAGCUUGUUGGUGAGGUAAUGGCUCACCAAGGCGACGACGGGUAGCCGGCCUGAGAGGGCGACCGGCCACACUGGGACUGAGACACGGCCCAGACUCCUACGGGAGGCAGCAGUGGGGAAUAUUGCACAAUGGGCGAAAGCCUGAUGCAGCGACGCCGCGUGAGGGAUGACGGCCUUCGGGUUGUAAACCUCUUUCAGCAGGGAAGAAGCGAAAGUGACGGUACCUGCAGAAGAAGCGCCGGCUAACUACGUGCCAGCAGCCGCGGUAAUACGUAGGGCGCAAGCGUUGUCCGGAAUUAUUGGGCGUAAAGAGCUCGUAGGCGGCUUGUCACGUCGGGUGUGAAAGCCCGGGGCUUAACCCCGGGUCUGCAUACGGGCUAGCUAGAGUGUGGUAGGGGAGAUCGGAAUUCCUGGUGUAGCGGUGAAAUGCGCAGAUAUCAGGAGGAACACCGGUGGCGAAGGCGGAUCUCUGGGCCAUUACUGACGCUGAGGAGCGAAAGCGUGGGGAGCGAACAGGAUUAGAUACCC